rnacentral:lncRNA from 1 species
CUGUUCUUUAUGUUGGCCUCCUGACCAGGACUGAAUGGCUCAGGGGUGAGGGUCCAUCCAUUUGCCUACAACCACUCUGGAAAUCAGUCUGGCAGUUCCUCAGAAAAUUGGACAUAGUACUACCGGAGGAUCCCGCAAUGCCUCUCCUGGGCAUAUNUCCACAUCUGAAGUCUAAUUAGAGAGCAAUUGGUCACCACCGAGGUAUGUGUGACACAAAUGUACCCAUGUAAGCAUCCUGGAAAUAUCAGAAGCUAUAACCAUAAAGUCUCACUAACAUGAUCUAAAAAUGAGGUGAACAGGGACAACAACAGAAAUGUUAACAUGGAUGAGUGACAGCCAAAAAGGCCUCAACCCUACACAAAGAAGUACAGGCAACUAAGGAAUACCGGGGAAUGGAAGAAAUAGUCUUCUUCAGCAAAGAGCACACUGAUUGUUAUGCAACACCAAAUGGUCAGCCCUGAGAACUCAUGUAUUAGCAGCAUUACACAAACUAAGCAAAUAGAAUUUUAUCUUACCUACAAUAAUGACAAUGGAAAAAACAAUGUUCUAUUGAUUUUUCAAGUAUUACCAGGCUUUAAUAUAAAAUGAAAAGCAUUCAUACUAGAAAAAAGCUUCCAAAAAGUCCAAAGCUUCCUUGAUUAAGACAUGUGCAUGGUCAUUAAAAAAAAAAAAAAAGCAGAAAAGGUGCUAAUCAGCCUCUCUGCAACCAUGACCAAGAACUCACAGCAAGGCAUGCUGGGGACGUAGCAGAGCUAUCCUCCCACGUACACACCAAGACCAGGACCUGCAGGAGCCUGAGUGCAUUCUUUAACCCAGGGACAUCAGCAGAUAUUUCUUCAGUAAUCUGAUCUGGCUUUAUAGCCAUGCCUAGCUCACAUAUCAUAAGAUCUUUGGGAGAAUAUACUCUGACU